UUCAGACAACAGAGCAGGGAUGGGCGAUAUGGCCUAAAAUCCAUAUUGCGAUAUACCUUGCAGCCUCCUGCGAUAACAAUAUAUACAUCACGAUAUAUGAAUUAUAAUAGAACCAUUUUAGAACAGGUUAUAAAGACCCUAAGGAAAGCCAAACUGCUAAA